ensembl:lncRNA
AGCAUAACACUGCUUCUAAACCAGGGGUGUUAAAUGUUAAAUCCAUCUCCUCCAUGUGAGUUUUGUCUUAAACGGCAAUGACAUCUACAAGUGACAACUGAAAGGACAUUUUGGUUUCUGUUUCUAUUUCGUCUUGCCCUGCUCAUUAUAACUGUAGUUUAAACAUUAAAUAUCUUCUGACUGUCUGUGACUGUGCCACACAAGUUUCGCAGUCAUUAUGAAUGGAUAAAAUGAUUGUAACUUGUAAGAUCUGUAGGAGUAAAACACAGUAUAAAGACAAGACAUUAUUUUUAGAAUAAUCACCAUUUUCAAACAUUAUUCCUCACGCAGUCACACCCUUUUCCUCAUCUUUGUCCACAUGCUUGCUCUGCUUCUUCUUGUUGCUGGACUGUCCUGCAGCAGGUGUCUGUUUCUCUGCUCCUCCGCUGUCUGGUUUGCGUUUGCUGGGAGUCUGGUUGUCUUCCUGAGCCAGGACUGUGCUGUGAGCCAGUCUGUCUUCAUUAGGACUCGCUCGCUGGCUUGAGCUCAGUUUAGAAAAUCUGUCUCUCAUCUCCUUCAGUCUCUGAUCCACCGUACACUUCUGCAGCUCCAGCAUCACCUGCUGCUCCUGAAAGCAUGGGGAGCAUCAGAGACACAGACGGAAGGGGUGCUCAGUGAAAUGCGUUUCAGUGGGUAUUUUUACACUGAAGAAGUCCUCUACUAAUGUUCCAAAGGCCUCCGGUGUGUUUUCCUCAUCCAUCUAACAUUGAAACAGUGAUGAAACAACUGCAUGCUUAAUGCUGAAAUGGCCAAGUGGAAGGCUUUCAUGAAUUCAAGAGAUUUUGAGCCUGUAAAAAAAAUAGAAAUGCAAAAGAAGAAGGUUCAAUGUUUAAUGCUUUUUAUGUUUGGAGAACUUUGCAAAUGUUACUGAAAGA